AUUGAACGCUGGCGGCAGGCCUAACACAUGCAAGUCGAGCGGAUGAAGGGAGCUUGCUCCUGGAUUCAGCGGCGGACGGGUGAGUAAUGCCUAGGAAUCUGCCUGGUAGUGGGGGAUAACGUCCGGAAACGGGCGCUAAUACCGCAUACGUCCUGAGGGAGAAAGUGGGGGAUCUUCGGACCUCACGCUAUCAGAUGAGCCUAGGUCGGAUUAGCUAGUUGGUGGGGUAAAGGCCUACCAAGGCGACGAUCCGUAACUGGUCUGAGAGGAUGAUCAGUCACACUGGAACUGAGGCACGGUCCAGACUCCUACGGGAGGCAGCAGUGGGGAGUAUUGGACAAUGGGCGAAAGCCUGAUCCAGCCAUGCCGCGUGUGUGAAGAAGGUCUUCGGAUUGUAAAGCACUUUAAGUUGGGAGGAAGGGCAGUAAGUUAAUACCUUGCUGUUUUGACGUUACCAACAGAAUAAGCACCGGCUAACUUCGUG
rnacentral:rRNA from 1 species